rnacentral:rRNA from 1 species
UACGGAGGGUGCAAGCGUUAAUCGGAAUUACUGGGCGUAAAGCGUACGUAGGCGGCGUGUUAAGCAAGAUGUGAAAGCCCCGGGCUCAACCUGGGAAUUGCAUUUUGAACUGGCACGCUAGAGUCCUGGAGAGGGUGGUAGAAUUUCCAGUGUAGCGGUGAAAUGCGUAGAUAUUGGAAGGAAUACCAGUGGCGAAGGCGGCCACCUGGUCAGAGACUGACGCUGAGGUACGAAAGCGUGGGGAGCAAACAGG